AGACUCUGGUUUCUCUUUAGGUGGUAUAAAUCUUGCCUUUUGCUAAAAUUUCUGUGGAGAGGAACACUCCUGAAUCUUAACCCAGUUUUGGGGGCCUUGUGUCUGCAGAAAAAAAC
ensembl:snRNA U5 U5 spliceosomal RNA